CACUCUAAAAACCGUUGGGUUAUUUGUUUUACCCAAUAGGUGGGUUAAACGUAUUGGGUUGUUCUGUUGGGUUAUUCCUAGCUUGUAUUGGGUUAUUUCCAUAACAACCCAGAGAGUUGGGUUAAAAUCGGGCUCACGUCACGCAUUUUGAAUUUCAACGGUUGACAGGUGCCACUGCUGAGUGCGGACAGACACGAGAGACAUUCUUGGAGAUGUUGCAUUAAAAACCUUACAAAAUGGCCAGCAAGAUGGUUCAGCCUUCCUACAGUACCAAGAGGCAAAGCAAACAUUUAUUAAUUUGCAACCUGUCAGAAAACAAACAUAAUUCAGUAUUUGGAGGAGGAGGUAUGACGAAGACCCCAUGUCCUCCUAUGGGAUGAAUUCGACUAAUCACAAGCCUUUGUUAUCGUGGGGAGGCAUGGCCCUGGAGCAAGACCAGCAGUUGACAUGUGCUUUAAUUUUUUUUUUUUACAUUUUAUACAGAGUAUCCCAAGCCUUUCACUACUGUUAAGUAGUUUCUGUAACACACAAUACAUUUUGUACCAUGUGAUGUUUCCUGAACACACUGUCACCUGCUUAAAGGGACAGUUCCCCCAAAAAUGAAAAUUGUCAUAAUUUUCUUCCUCUCCUGUCGUUACAUACCUGUAGACAUUUUUUUGUUCUGAUGACCAUAAAAGAAGAUAUUUUGAGUAAUGUUUGAAACCAUGAGCCCCAUUGACUGUCAUAGUAGGAAAAAAGAAUACUAUGAAAAUGAAUGGGGCUCAUGAUCGGUUUUAUUUUUUAAACAUUCUUUGAAAUAUACCUUUGUGGUUAUCAAAGUAAAGACUUAUAUACAGGUUUAUAACAACAUGAGAGGGAGAAAAUGAUGACAAAAUGUGUGAACUAUGCUUUUAAGCAGUUUUUAGUUGGAUAAGAUUGAGUAGAUUUGUUUUCUUAUGUUUUUGUUUAUUUAUGUAUGUAUAUAUUUAUGUAUGUGUGUAUGUAUUUAUGCUUCUAUACAUGUAUG